GAUGAACGCUGGCGGCGUGCCUAAUACAUGCAAGUCGGGCGAACAGACGAGGAGCUUGCUCCUCUGACGUUAGCGGCGGACGGGUGAGUAACACGUGGAUAACCUACCUAUAAGACUGGGAUAACUUCGGGAAACCGGAGCUAAUACCGGAUAAUAUAUUGAACCGCAUGGUUCAAUAGUGAAAGACGGUUUUGCUGUCACUUAUAGAUGGAUCCGCGCCGCAUUAGCUAGUUGGUAAGGUAACGGCUUACCAAGGCAACGAUGCGUAGCCGACCUGAGAGGGUGAUCGGCCACACUGGAACUGAGACACGGUCCAGACUCCUACGGGAGGCAGCAGUAGGGAAUCUUCCGCAAUGGGCGAAAGCCUGACGGAGCAACGCCACGUGAGUGAUGAAGGUCUUCGGAUCGUAAAACUCUGUUAUUAGGGAAGAACAAAUGUGUAAGUAACUAUGCACGUCUUGACGGUACCUAAUCAGAAAGCCACGGCUAACUACGUG
rnacentral:rRNA from 1 species